rnacentral:lncRNA from 1 species
AAACAACAUUAGCAUAGAGGAGGGCAGGUUAGGGGCAUGAGUCUCAGUACAAGUUGAACCAUGCCAUCGGUUUAUGAUUUAUACAAAAGACAGUGGUGUCAUUUUGCCUACUAUCCAUAUGCCUAGUAACUGUGAAUAAUUCAUUCUUCAGGAAAUUAUGUACCAGGGAAAUACUUUUUAAGAAACAAUGAGGAUUUGAUCAUGGAUUAAAGAUACGAGAAGAAAAGGAAUCAUACAUCCAUUAUCCAUUAUCCAUUUCUGAUUUUCACCUGCUUUCAAGAAGGAUCAGACAAAUGGAAAAGAUGGUGGAAAGGAUGAUGGAAGAAUUGAACCCCCCGGGGUUAUACCCACACUCUGAUUUUGAACCAAUUAAGUGUUGUUCCCUGCUGAGCAGGGAGCCUGACAAAGGACUUGAUCCCAGGAUCUUGAGAUCAUGACCUGAGCCAAAGGCAGAUGCUUUACCAACUGGAGCCACCAAGAUGCCCCCUUCUCUUGCCUUCUAACAUUCAUUUUCAUUCUUUGAAUAAAUUUUAUACAAAUUAUCAGGAAUAUUCCAUUCUGGGAGAGCUUAUUUAACUCUUGAAACUCUUGAAACAUUUUUGAGGGCAUUCAUUCCUUACCCUCGAGUUUGAUCAGAUGCCUCUUCUACAUGUUCUCUAUCACAUUGGUAUAAUUUUUAAACAGUCACAGCUAUAUCUUCAGUAUCUUGCAUAAUGAUUUACACAAAAUCUAUGCUUAAUAAAUAAAUUCUUAAAUGAAUGAAUACGCUAAGGAUUUCCUUAUACUUUCUUCUUGGUUUGAUAUAUAAAUCCUAAAAUACUAACAAGGGUUUCAUUGAAAUCUUUUGGGGUCUGUUGUAUGUAAAAUUAAUCUUAAAUAUUCAAGUUACAAAUAAACCACUUCUUCACAGAACAGAGUGACAGUCUUCA